rnacentral:rRNA from 1 species
AAUUCGAUGCAACGCGAAGAACCUUACCUGGUCUUGACAUCCGGAGACCCUUAGGAAACUAGGGGGUGCUUCCAUCUGGAAGAAUCUGGAGACAGGUGCUGCAUGGCUGUCGUCAGCUCGUGUCGUGAGAUGUUGGGUUAAGUCCCGCAACGAGCGCAACCCUUGCCUUUAGUUGCCAGCAGUUCGGCUGGGCACUCUAAAGGGACUGCCGGUGUUAAACCGGAGGAAGGUGGGGAUGACGUCAAGUCCUCAUGGCCUUUAUGACCAGGGCUACACACGUACUACAAUGGCCGAUACAAAGGGCAGCGACACUGCGAGGUGAAGCCAAUCCCGUAAAAUCGGUCUCAGUCCGGAUUGGAGUCUGCAACUCGACUCCAUGAAGUUGGAAUCGCUAGUAAUCGUGGAUCAGCAUGCCACGGUGAAUACGUUCCCGGGCCUU